GAAAUGCGAUACGUGAUGUGAAUUGCAUACUCGUGAAUCAUCGAAUCUUUGAACGCAAAUGGCGCUCGGCCGCUUCGGUGUGCCGAGCAUGUCUGUUUGAGGGUCAGUUUAAUCUGCUUUGUGUCUUUCGUAAAGUUCAACUGUAAUUUUAUGGAACCCCCACAAGACGAUGCGUGUUCACUUUUCCUGGCACUAGUGAUCAUGUGAAACGGAUAUUAAGACGAAAAGCUCGGGCGAACGUUCCGGGGUCCCGACCCAAUUAUAUUUUUUAUAUAUAAUUGCCCAACGGGACCAAACGGAAGCAUCACCGGGUUUUUUUUAAUAUUUCAGUAUAUUUUGACAAAAUGACCUCAAAUCAGGCAAGAGCACCCGCUGAACUUAA
rnacentral:misc_RNA from 2 species